rnacentral:tRNA from 1 species
GACGGUCAAUGGGUCCUGGUGGACUCCCUCGGCUGCAAACCGGGUGCGGCGAGCACGGCUCGACGGUUGGGUUCGAUUCCCAAGGACCGUCUCCA